GUCUCCUUCUGUGCAGACAUUCCAACCCGCCUGGACACCUUCCUGUGUAACCUCAUCUGGGUGUUCCUGCUCCAUGGGGGGAUUGCACUGGAUGAGCUCUCCAGGUCCCUUCCAACCCCUCACAUUCUGGGAUUCUGACCCAUAUGCAGUUCACACAGGUGCAGCAGCAGAACACGGGCAGCACCUGUGCCUGGCGAGACUUGCUCACACCAAGCACCUCCUGUGACUCUGUGAGGUUUCACAGCCUUCCCACAUCUCCUUGUUAUUCCAUUUUAUACUUUGUUGUUAAGAACAACCCCCCUUCCUCCGCACUUGAUAGGUGUCUGUAUUUAACCCGCAGAACUGACACCAGUGUGUGAUGCACUUCAACAUGUCCAUGCAGUGGUUGUGAAGAGACUUUCUGCAGUUCAGUUUGCUCCUGGACUGCAUGGGCAGCCUCCAUCAGUGCAUACAGGAUGCUCCAGCCUUCACCUCACCUCUGGAAAGGGAUUUAGGUGCAAGAAAAGGUACAAGAUUUGGGGCAUCCAUUGGCACAUCACCGUGACACCUACUUACAAGUCUCUCCAUUGAGCAACUUCCAUGUGCAUGCAAAAACCAAAUUAAAGCCAUCAAAAUCGA